AUCUACGGCCAUGCCACCCUGAACGUGCCUGACUGCUUCUGAUCUCAGAAGCUAAGCCAAGCCUGAUUAGUACUUGGAUGGGAGACCACCUAGGAAUACCAGGUGCUGUAGGUG
rnacentral:rRNA from 1 species